GUGAAUCAUCGAAUUUUUGGACGCAAAUUGCACUCUCUUCGGAGAGUAUGCCUGUUUGAGGGUCGGUAUUAACAAAAAAUCGGUUUGGUUGCAAAUUGUGACGUUUCCGGAGUUCAGGCUUAUCUUAACUUUUUUGGUUAAGGGGCUUAAAAUUGACCUUUUUUGCGCAUUUUUAGACGUACAUAAAUUUUUUUUUAUUCGUCUGUCUUAAUGCUCAAAAUCUUAUUAGAUGCGAUCACAUCGUGUGGCUUCGUGUCCAUAAAAUUUUCAUGAUUUGACCUCAAAUCAGGUAGGAGUACC
rnacentral:misc_RNA from 1 species